UGGGGAAUUUUGGACAAUGGGCGAAAGCCUGAUCCAGCAAUGCCGCGUGUGUGAAGAAGGCCUUCGGGUUGUAAAGCACUUUUGUCCGGAAAGAAAUCCUUGGCUCUAAUACAGUCGGGGGAUGACGGUACCGGAAGAAUAAGCACCGGCUAACUACGUGCCAGCAGCCGCGGUAAUACGUAGGGUGCAAGCGUUAAUCGGAAUUACUGGGCGUAAAGCGUGCGCAGGCGGUUUGCUAAGACCGAUGUGAAAUCCCCGGGCUCAACCUGGGAACUGCAUUGGUGACUGGCAGGCUAGAGUAUGGCAGAGGGGGGUAGAAUUCCACGUGUAGCAGUGAAAUGCGUAGAGAUGUGGAGGAAUACCGAUGGCGAAGGCAGCCCCCUGGGCCAAUACUGACGCUCAUGCACGAAAGCGUGGGGAGCAAACAGGAUUAGAUACCCUGGUAGUCCACGCCCUAAACGAUGUCAACUAGUUGUUGGGGAUUCAUUUCCUUAGUAACGUAGCUAACGCGUGAAGUUGACCGUCUGGGGAGUACGGUCGCAAGAUUAAAACUUAAAUGAAUUGACGGGGUCAUAGCUG
rnacentral:rRNA from 1 species